rnacentral:rRNA from 1 species
AACUUAAAUGAAUUGACGAGGGCCCGCACAAGCGGUGGAGCACGUGGUUUAAUUCGAUGCAAACCGAAGAACCUUACCAGGUCUUGACAUCCCCCGCGAUGCUUUAGAGAUAAAGCGGAGGUAUUCGGGGAGACAGGUGGUGCAUGGUUGUCGUCAGCUCGUGUCGUGAGAUGUUGGGUUAAGUCCCGCAACGAGCGCAACCCCUAUUGCUAGUUACCAUCAUUAAGUUGGGGACUCUAGCGAGACUGCCAGUGAUAAACUGGAGGAAGGUGGGGAUGACGUCAAAUCAUCAUGCCCCUUAUGACCUGGGCUACAAACGUGAUACAAUGGCUGGAACAAAGGGAUGCGAAGCAGUGAUGUGGAGCGAAACCCAUAAAAACAGUCUCAGUUCGGAUUGAAGUCUGCAACUCGACUUCAUGAAGUCGGAAUCGCUAGUAAUCGCGGACCAGAACGCCGCGGUGAAUACGUUCCCGGGCCUU